rnacentral:rRNA from 1 species
GGGGAAUAUUGCACAAUGGGGGAAACCCUGAUGCAGCAACGCCGCGUGAGCGAUGAAGGCUUUCGAGUCGUAAAGCUCUGUCCUAAGGGAAGAUAAUGACGGUACCUUAGGAGGAAGCCCCGGCUAACUACGUGCCAGCAGCCGCGGUAAUACGUAGGGGGCAAGCGUUAUCCGGAAUCAUUGGGCGUAAAGGGUGCGUAGGCGGCCCUAUAGGUCAGAGGUCAAAGGCUACGGCUCAACCGUAGUAAGCCUUUGAAACUGUAGGGCUUGAGUGCAGGAGAGGAGAGUGGAAUUCCUAGUGUAGCGGUGAAAUGCGUAGAUAUUAGGAGGAACACCAGUGGCGAAGGCGACUCUCUGGACUGCAACUGACGCUGAGGCACGAAAGCGUGGGUAGCGAAC